rnacentral:lncRNA from 1 species
GGUGGAGACAACUUUGAUCUCAAAGGAAUUCAUCUCAAACAGUGGAACUUCAGAAUCCCAAGAAAGAUGUGGGAGGGAUUUUCCGAGAAAACCUCCCUACGUUCCGAAGACAGAGACCCGUCAGACAGGGCAAGGAAAAAUCAUGGAGCUGGGAGCGGGAGGCCUGGAAAUGCAAUUAUAACCUUUUGCCUCCCCUGCACCUGAGGCUUGCUACAGGCCAAGUCCAUCUAGCUAUGUGCUUAGACACUCCAGAGUGGAACUCUCACCCACCAGGAAGUUGCCUCGGGAGAUAACAGUCCAUCGACGAUCCAAAGAUGUCCGCGAUGAAACUCUCUCCUACCUGGAGAGUUUUCAGCUGCAUUACAACCUACUCCUGCCCAUGAAGGUGCCAGCAGUCACCAGUUUUACCACCGCCUGGUAGAUAAAGUACCAAGUUAGCACACAGACCGCCCCCAACCUGCUCGCUUUCUCCCUGUGUGCCAUUCAUGUUAGGCCCCCUUUAAAAAGCACUUGCUUUCUGCUCCAAAAGUAAAGCAAUACCCUUAAGGCAGGAAGCUUGAACUUCUUCCCCUAAGCUAGCUUGGGAAUAAAAAGUCACUUUCUUUAUAUUGGA